GACGAACGCUGGCGGCGUGCUUAACACAUGCAAGUCGAACGGAAAGGCCCUGCUUUUGUGGGGUGCUCGAGUGGCGAACGGGUGAGUAACACGUGAGUAACCUGCCCUUGGCUUUGGGAUAACUUCAGGAAACUGGGGCUAAUACCGGAUAGGAGCUCCUGCUGCAUGGUGGGGGUUGGAAAGUUUCGGCGGUUGGGGAUGGACUCGCGGCUUAUCAGCUUGUUGGUGGGGUAGUGGCUUACCAAGGCUUUGACGGGUAGCCGGCCUGAGAGGGUGACCGGCCACAUUGGGACUGAGAUACGGCCCAGACUCCUACGGGAGGCAGCAGUGGGGAAUAUUGCACAAUGGGCGGAAGCCUGAGGCAGCAACGCCGCGUGCGGGAUGACGGCCUUCGGGUUGUAAACCGCUUUCGCCUGUGACGAAGCGUGAGUGACGGUAAUGGGUAAAGAAGCACCGGCUAACUACGUG
rnacentral:rRNA from 1 species